AAGAGAGGCAUCUUGACCCUGAAGUACCCCAUUAAACAUGGCUUUGUUAACAACUGGGAUAGCAUAAAGAAAAUCUGUUACCAUGCUCUCUACAAUGAGAUGCAUUUUGUCACUGUGUUCACUCACCAAGUCACUGAUGAACUCAAAGUGAACUUUGAAAAGAUGGCCUAGAUCAUAUCUGAUACCUUCAACACCCCAGAUUUAUAUGUAGUAGUUGUCCAGGUCAUGAUGCUUUUGUAUACCUCUAUUCAUAACACCUGAAUUGUGAGGUACUCUAGAUAUGGUGUCACCCAAACUGUGACAAUCUCCAUGAGUUGCAGUCGCUCACCCAUGCCAUCAGGUGCCUGGAACUAGAUGGCUGUAACCUGACAAACUACCUCAUGGAAAUCUUAUCGGAAUGUAGCAGCAGCUUCAUCACCACAGCUGAGUGGUUAAUCGGGGGUGAAUAGAAAUUGUGCUAUAUUGUUCUGCAUGUUAACAUGCAUGUCUCCACUGCUAUACCCCCAUUCUUCCUGGAGAAGAGCUAGGAGCUGCCAAAUGGCCACGUCAUCAUUACUGGCAACCGCUGAUUCCUCUGCCUGGAGGCUCUCAUUCAGCCUUCCUCGUGUGGAAUUCCUGCUGUAUACUAGAAAUCACAUUAAAUUCCAUUACAAAGUAUGAUGUCAACAUUCAUAUACAUUCCUAUGCCAACACAUUGCUUUCUGGUUAUACUACCAUGAUUUCAGGCAUCAGUGACAGGAUGCAGAAGGAAAUCACUGCUCUAGUUCACAUAAGAAUGAAGAUCAAGAUCAUUGCUCCUCUU
rnacentral:lncRNA from 1 species